rnacentral:rRNA from 1 species
UACGGAGGAUGCAAGCGUUAUCCGGAAUGAUUGGGCGUAAAGCGUCCGCAGGUGGUUGUGUGUGUCUAUUGUCAAAGCAUCAUGCUUAACAUGAUAAAGGCAGUAGAAACUACACGACUAGAGUGCGUUCGGGGCAGAGGGAAUUCCUGGUGUAGCGGCGAAAUGCGUAGAGAUCAGGAAGAACACCGGUGGCGAAAGCGAUCUGCUAGGCCGCAACUGACACUGAGGGACGAAAGCUAGGGGAGCGAAGGGG